GGUGAACGCUGGCGGCGUGCUUAACACAUGCAAGUCGAACGAAGCACCUUGAUUCGAUUCUUCGGAUGAAGAUCUUGGUGACUGAGUGGCGGACGGGUGAGUAACGCGUGGGUAACCUGCCUCAUACAGGGGGAUAACAGUUAGAAAUGACUGCUAAUACCGCAUAAGACCACAGCACCGCAUGGUGCAGGGGUAAAAACUCCGGUGGUAUGAGAUGGACCCGCGUCUGAUUAGGUAGUUGGUGGGGUAACGGCCUACCAAGCCGACGAUCAGUAGCCGACCUGAGAGGGUGACCGGCCACAUUGGGACUGAGACACGGCCCAAACUCCUACGGGAGGCAGCAGUGGGGAAUAUUGCACAAUGGGGGAAACCCUGAUGCAGCGACGCCGCGUGAGCGAUGAAGUAUUUCGGUAUGUAAAGCUCUAUCAGCAGGGAAGAAAAUGACGGUACCUGACGAAGAAGCACCGGCUAAAUACGUG
rnacentral:rRNA from 1 species